rnacentral:lncRNA from 1 species
UUCGAUUUUAUAUAAUUCAAUUUAAAAUUUUGGGUUCUGUCCAUCAAUUUCCCCUUUGCUCUUCAUAUAAUGCAUGAGCAUUAAAAUCCUUUUAUCUUUGUUUUAAAAUUUCAUUUUGGAUCGCUCCGGUAGCACUUAGAAUGUUAGAAAUUUGCUGAAGAGUUCCUAUUAUAGAUAACCUCAUGGUUCACUUAUCCUGCCUAUAGGUAGACAUGGUGGUGACAAGGUGAUUUAUGCAGUUGGGUGAAAAGAUUCAAUAUAUUGAGUUAUCGAUAAGAGCCGAUACAAUGCAGAACAUGGAGGAAAGAAAACAUAGCAGCACCUUUAUGGUGCAUUUUCUGCCAUUAUUUGGUCCAAAAUAAAUGAAAAAUGCCCAAGUGUUAUUCUGCAAAAUUUUGUCUGUACCUGUAGCAUAACUGGGGAGGAAAUGUUGACACAAUUGAUGUUUUGAUCUCAAUUGCACAGUAGACCAAAACUACAGGUAUGUGGAGUACAUAAGUUUUUGUGAUAGUGGAUUGUUUCCAAUAGGAGUAUUAAGUUGAUCAAUACUAUACAAGAUUUACUCUUACUUUUGAAGGAUAACAAAACGUAACGAAAAUAAACCAUUACUUUGUAAUAUGUCUCUACUGGGGGUUAUAACUCAUUUUAGUAAUUGCUGUUUUAUUUUGCAAUUAUUUCUUCAAUUAGGAUAAUGAAAGAAAAUAAAUAUAUGUAACAUAAAAGAGGAAAUCUUCUGGCUGAUUUAGCUCAUCAGGCGAUGAACCUCUUGUGCAAGGGAUGGACAAGGAGAGGUUAUUCGCCAUUGCCAGUCUUUAACAUGUAAUGCUUAUGACAUUAAGCUUAUAGCUAUGACAGCGAGGAGGGGGGGCAAAGAUAGUAGAAUACAUCGAAAAAGAACACUUUCUCACAUAAAUUUUCAAAACCAUUAAUCAAAUAAUAAUGGUGAAAUUGUCUUUUUCUGGAUGUACUAUUUUGUAAAUUUCAUAUCAGGGGUUGUAGCAAUUAUUUGUUCAGCGUUUUCUGGACCUCCAUGUAUUCUUUUAGCUUUUCCAUCUUUUGGUUCCAAUAGAUUACCUCAUUGGAAAUACUUGCACGUAGGAGGACAAAAUGAUGGCUUAAACCACCAAUAUGAUGAGAUAUUACAGCGAUAAGGUAAUGGCUUAUAUUGGUCUUUAUCUAAUGGUGUACUUUAGAUCCUCUAUUUAUUUCUUCUUUGGAAUCUAAUUUCAGAAUUUACACUGCAUCAAGAUGCUGCAUAUCAUUUUAUUGCAUGUUGUUUAUAUCUUUGACAAAACACAAUCUUAUAGAGUCUCUGCAAAUUUUAUGAUUGGUUUUGUUUGUUAUUCUUAGUAUCAAUUGACACUAUAUGUCAAUAGAGGACCAUUUGAAUUUCUACUUGUAAUAUGUUGCUUUUAAUUUAAUUAGACUUACCUGCAUGAUGAUAUAUGCAACCUUGCAAAAGGAAUUUGUUCUAUGUCUUGUCAUUUUUAAUAGUGUAUAUGCUGAUUUUAAUCGUUGGUAGUAUUCCUGGAUAAGUUGGCUUUCUUGUUCCAGUCAACUUAUCAAUGAAUGCAGCUAACUUUGCUAAAGAAAUGUAUUAUUGCUAACCAGUGAAAUAUUUAUAAUAUUUUAAGUUGAAGAACUAGCUACUUUAGCUUUGAAAUAGUAGUAGGAUCACAUGAUCGAGGAUAUUCUGUAAAAUAAGUAGAGAAGGUUAAAAAUUUGAACAUAUUCAUGAGUUGGUUAAAGUGAUGUCAAUUGAAUGUAAAUUGCAAGGACAUGGAUUGGGAUUCAACAAUGUGGCCAGAUGCACAAGUUAGUAAAAUUGAUGAUACCAGUACAAUUAUGAAACCUAGAGGAAGAGUUUGAUGACAUCUAAUCACAUGGCAUGGGGUAAUAACUAAUGAGAAGGAUUUUGAAUCUUCGUGUUAUAGCUUUUGAGAUGUCCCUUGUUACUUGUUGUGGCUGAGAAGAAAAAGAGGAACCAUGUACUUGGCUUGAGAUAAGAAUGGGAUAUGGUUUCGUUGAGUUGUGUACCCCAUAAACCAGGUAUGAUGCUGGUAUCUUGCUCGAUCUUCAGAACCUAUUGGCUGCAGUUGUUUGCAGAUACCUGUUUGUGGAUAUCAGUUAUGGGUAUAACUAGCAGUGUGUCAGAAUGCAAAUGCACUGGAAAGGGAUUUAAGAUCAGGGGUAACAGAAAUGUACUCAAAGUUUCAGCGUUCUUUUAAUUAUUAUAGAAAGCCUUCCAUUAUAUAUCCAAUGCAUGUCUUCAUUUACCAUAGUAGCUAAUAAGUAUCAAGAAGAAACCUUCCUCCUGAAAUCUGCCAGAAAAGAGCAUUUUUCGGAGUUCCUCUAGCUUUUUUAACCUUCGUGCCACUACCUAGCAGAAAACUUCAUUGUUUUUAUGAGUUAGGGUGAAGGAGUCAGCACUCUUCUUCACAUACUUUGCAGACAUAAUAAGCUAAUUUUAGUAAUUUCAAGAAAUAAUUCAAGGGCAUAAUGACCAAAAUUUGUGAGAGUACCAUCCUUAGACAUCUUAUUGAAGUGCUGAAUUACUAUGUUGGGAUUUAAAGAAUUUUACAUGCAGAGUUCAAGAAAUGUAUCAUCUAUAGUUUAGCUACUUAAUUGAAAUGGUUUCCUAUCAGACAACAUGAAACCUGAGUUCUCUUAAUUCUAUAAUACAAUUAUUUGACAAUUUUGAUCACUGUAAAAAAUCUUUAAUAUCUUAUCUGUCUUGCAUACAAAUUCAAAGUUCUUCCUUUAUGAUGGACCAGGCCACCACUUACUCUCAGCUUCAAAAGUCCCUCUCCCUUUUGGUCCAGUAACCUACCAAAUUCGCUUAGUUACAAUGUUUGGCUGCAUAAAUUUAAAAAAAAAAAAAAAAAAAAAAAAUUUCCCUCAAAACCACUGUAGAUGGUAUGUUUUAUUAAUAUAAAAAUUUAGACACAGAACAAAAAAAAUAAACCAAAAACAAAAACUUACCGCAUCUGGAGAUGGAGGGUGUACAAUGAAAAUUAAAAAUUACAAUUCAUGCACCAUAGCAUUAUUCCUAGUCACCAUAUGUUUUGUGAAGUUUCUCUCCAUCUUCUAGCCCCUUCAGACUCACUACUUAAAUUGGACCUUCUUUGGACUAAUGAGUUUCAUCUUCAGAUGUAUUGGAUAAUAUAGGCGGGGCUAUGUAUUUGCAUAUAUUUUCUGUGGACUGGAUCAAAGACUGACAAGGAAUCUUUUAUGUAUUUGUAGUUUCUGUUAAUAUCUUUUAUCUUUCAGAAAAACAAAGGGUUGCAAUUGAUUGAGUGUUGAAUGACAAUAAAGCCCAAGAUUUGCAGUGAGACCCACCUUUCACAUGUUGACAUGCAAUUCAUUCUCGACUCGUUGCAGGUUUUAGUUCUUGGUCAGCCUGGAAAGGAGCUGAGUUUGCACUUUGCAGUUGAUGCUAAGAUUUGUUGCCAAUGUUCAUCUCAAAGUAAGUAUUGCUUGUAUUAAAUUAUUAAAUAUAACUUUGUAUGCCUUCAUAUCAGCAAUGCUAGAAAUGAAACAUUUGCAUUCUUUCCAUUUCAGUAAGGUAAAUUGUCAGCUGGAAGUGUCUUGGUUUAUACUUUAUACAUGCAUAGUGACAUCGAGCACACUAUUCUUGUACAUAUGAAUUUAUAUUCUAUAUUUAAGUUGUUUGCCAAGGCUUGGGUUGACCUUUAGCUCAACAGAGCGGGUCUAGAUCCCUACCAAGCACUACAGCAAAGUUGUUUCUUCUAUCCUUAUUGUGCUUUAUGUAGGCUUAGCCUGGUGAAGCAGAGAAUGGGCAAUGUGCAGUGGUAUAAUUUAACACGUUUAGUUAAAAAAUCGCUAAUUCAAAAGGCUUGACCUGUGUUUAAAUAGAUUGGGUCGAGCGAACCUGCAGUGUGAAUCCCUUUGUUUCUUAUAUCUCACCUUAAACUGUGUAUAUCUCCAACAGGUCCUAACAAUUGUCCCUUUAAUGCGCCGUAUAAAAAAUUGAUUCUGUCUGAUUGAGAGCUUAUUACCUGUUUGACAACCAUUAUUUGAGGAAAUAAAGUUUUGAAUAGUGAUUUUUAGGAGAAUGUGUAGUUAAAUGGUAGAAAAAAGUUUUGGAUUUAAGUACAAAAUAUUUUAUUGUGUGAAUGUGUAGUUGAAAAUGAAUGUGUAAAAAGGAGUUUGAAAAUAAAGGCUGUAAAACAGUGGCUAAAGUUCAUUGGCCUAAACAAAUGGCAUGCAUUAAAAAACUGUGAUAUGCUUGGGGGACGAACUCUUGAGAAUUAGAUAGUAUUCUCAUUUCUCAGUUUACAUAGAAAUCUAGUAGCACCGUCUCAAUUUUGUCUAAGCAGUUAUACUCUCAUGAAGCUGACAAUCUUCUAGAUAACAUGAUGCUCUGUAUUUAUUCCACUGUCAUCUUUAUUCGUGUAUGAUUAAAAGAAAGGAUUGCUUUCACUUGUGGUGUCUAUAGGUGCACUUUACAAAUUUAUUCGAAUAUUUUUUCUUGUGCUUUGAGUGUGACAAUUAUUUAUUUGUUGAACUUUUUAUCGUUUUGUAUAUGUUUCCUCAAUGUGACACCGAGGAAAGUCCUAUAUCCCGAUGCAUUGGCUUGCAGGAAGGGUACAAGGAUUGAUGAAAUGUUCGAGGAUAUAAGGGAAGUCUUGUCCAUUUGCCAAGAUACUUGGGGUAAUCGAAAUAUCUUUGAGGCCAUCAAUUGCAAAUAAUUUUACGAGGCAGCCAUAGUCAAUUUUAUCAUAUGGUUGCUCAUAUUCAAUUUGAUGCGGCAGGAUUUUGGAUGCCAUUUUGCAGUAACCUUGCCAGGCUACUCAUAACUCGAACUGGGCGGGACUUUGUUUUUGCUCCUUGGUCAACUUUUUUAAGUAUAUUUUUUCAAUCCCCAAAAUGGUUUGUUGUACCAACAAAAAAUAUUACGGAAUAAAUUACUCUUGUGGGCUUGACUCAAGAUCUUAUUAUAUCAUCAUUUUUUCAGUCUGAAGCAUUAAUCUAGGUUCUUGUCAUACAGAAUGGCAUUUUCG